rnacentral:rRNA from 1 species
AUGCACGCUGGCGGCGUGCCUAACACAUGCAAGUCGAACGGAGUCGUUUUGGAAAUCUCUUCGGAGAUGGAAUUCUCGACUUAGUGGCGGACGGGUGAGUAACGCGUGAGCAAUCUGCCUUUAAGAGGGGGAUAACAGUCGGAAACGGCUGCUAAUACCGCAUAAAGCAUUAAAUUCGCAUGUUUUUGAUGCCAAAGGAGCAAUCCGCUUUUAGAUGAGCUCGCGUCUGAUUAGCUAGUUGGCGGGGUAACGGCCCACCAAGGCGACGAUCAGUAGCCGGACUGAGGGGUUGAUCGGCCACAUGGGGACUGAGACACGGCCCAGACUCCUACGGGAGGCAGCAGUGGGGAAUAUUGCGCAAUGGGGGAAACCCUGACGCAGCAACGCCGCGUGAUUGAAGAAGGCCUUCGGGUUGUAAAGAUCUUUAAUCAGGGACGAAACAAAUGACGGUACCUGAAGAAUAAGCGCCGGCUAACUACGUG